GAAAGUUUCAUGGAGGAACUGUCUUGGGAAGUAGGUUUUAAAGUGUGGAAGGGUGUAGAAGUCUUCUGAACAUGUAGAAAGGAUGCCCCCAGUACCGAAGAGGGAACCCCUGCACCUUGGAUAUUUUGGCGACGAUGGGAUGCUUUGUGGUUGAAGAUACAGCCCAGUCCUCACUGCCAUCAUCCAGGGAGACAGCUCCUAUGGACAAGGGGCCAGCAACCUCCACCAGCCGCCACCUACAGAGCAAUUUAGCCAGCCU